rnacentral:lncRNA from 10 species
AUACAUCUUUUUUUUAAAAAAGAUACUAGCAGAGUCCCAUCUAAAAGAGUAUUUAAAAUUGCCCACAGAUCUCCUAUUGACAGACACAGCCACCACAUCAAUCUGCCUCAGAACAUACUUGACCUGACGACAGACUUAUCUCAAGCCCCUCACCAUGAGAAGAUGGCUUAUUUCUCGGGAUCCUUUCUUUAAUAACAUUACUUUCCCCAGAGCCUCCUAUGUGUCAGAGUUUCAAAAUAUAUGUUUCAUUCAAAAGUGCUAUUUGGGGGUUGAAAUAAAUAUUUUUUCAAAAGAUAUAAUGCCAUGCCCGUUCUCCUCUGCUUUCAGGCACAUACAUUUGGUGGGCAAAGUGAAUACUUGUAGCCGAU